UUCAGGGGUAGGGGAGCGUUGUAUACAGCAUUGAAGGUGUACCGUAAGGAGCGCUGGAGCGUAUACAAGUGAGAAUGCCGGUAUGAGUAACGAAAAGAUCAGUGAGAAUCUGAUCCGCCGAAAGCCCAAGGUUUCCUGAGGAAGGCUCGUCCGCUCAGGGUAAGUCGGGACCUAAGGCGAGGCCGAAAGGCGUAGUCGAAGGACAACAGGUUGAAAUUCCUGUACCACCAUAAACCGUUAUGAACGAUGGGGGGACGCAGGAGGGUAGUGACGCGGACUGAUGGAUGUCCGUCCAAGCAGUGAGGCUGAUGUGUAGGCAAAUCCGCACAUCGUAAGGCUGGGCUGUGAUGGGGAGUGAAAAUUACAGUAGCGAAGGUCAUGAUCUCACACUGCCAAGAAAAGCCUCUAGUCAGGUGAAGGUGCCCGUACCGCAAACCGACACAGGUAGGCGAGAAGAGAAUUCUAAGGCGCGCGGAAGAACUCUCGUUAAGGAACUCGGCAAAAUGACCCCGUAACUUCGGGAGAAGGGGUGCCUCGGUAGGGUGAAUAGCCCGAGGGGGCCGCAGUGAAAAGGCCCAAGCGACUGUUUAGCAAAAACACAGGUCUGUGCGAAGCCGUAAGGCGAAGUAUACGGGCUGACGCCUGCCCGGUGCUGGAAGGUUAAGGGGAGCGGUUAGGAGCAAUCCGAAGCUGUGAACCGAAGCCCCAGUAAACGGCGGCCGUAACUAUAACGGUCCUAAGGUAGCGAAAUUCCUUGUCAGGUAAAUUCUGACCCGCACGAAUGGCGUAACGACUUGGGCGCUGUCUCAACGAGAGAUCCGGUGAAAUUUUAAUACCUGUGAAGAUGCAGGUUACCCGCGACAAGACGGAAAGACCCCAUGGAGCUUUACUGCAGCUUGAUAUUGAAUUUGGGUACGAUCUGUACAGGAUAGGUGGGAGCCUAGGAAACCUGAGCGCCAGCUUGGGUGGAGGCGCCGUUGGGAUACCACCCUGAUCGUAUCUAGGUUCUAACCUGGUGCCCUUAUCGGGUACAGGGACCGUGUCAGGUGGGCAGUUUGACUGGGGCGGUCGCCUCCUAAAGAGUAACGGAGGCGCCCCAAGGUUCCCUCAGAAUGGUUGGAAAUCAUUCGAAGAGUGCAAAGGCAUAAGGGAGCUUGACUGCGAGACCCACAAGUCGAGCAGGGACGAAAGUCGGGCUUAGUGAUCCGGUGGUACCGCAUGGAAGGGCCAUCGCUCAACGGAUAAAAGCUACCCUGGGGAUAACAGGCUUAUCUCCCCCAAGAGUCCACAUCGACGGGGAGGUUUGGCACCUCGAUGUCGGCUCAUCGCAUCCUGGGGCUGAAGUAGGUCCCAAGGGUUGGGCUGUUCGCCCAUUAAAGCGGUACGCGAGCUGGGUUCAGAACGUCGUGAGACAGUUCGGUCCCUAUCUGUCGUGGGCGUAGGAAAUUUGAGAGGAGCUGUCCUUAGUACGAGAGGACCGGGAUGGACGUACCGCUGGUGCACCAGUUGUUCCGCCAGGAGCACGGCUGGGUAGCUACGUACGGAAGGGAUAAGCGCUGAAAGCAUCUAAGCGUGAAGCCCCCCUCAAGAUGAGAUUUCCCAAUUAGUAAGACCCCUUGAAGACGACGAGGUAGAUAGGUUGGAGGUGGAAGUGCAGCAAUGCAUGGAGCUGACCAAUACUAAUCGGUCGAGGGCUUAUCCU
rnacentral:rRNA from 1 species